UACGUAGGGGGCAAGCGUUGUCCGGAUUUACUGGGUGUAAAGGGUGCUCAGGUGGCUUGGAAAGUCAGUGGUGAAAUCUGAGAGCUUAACUCUCAAACUGCCAUUGAUACUUCUUAGCUUGAGUACGGAAGAGGCUGAUGGAAUUGCUGGUGUAGCGGUGAAAUGCGUAGAUCAGCAGGAACACCCGUGGCGAAGGCGGCCCCCUGGGCCGUACCUGACGCUGAGGCGCGAAGGCUAGGGGAGCGAACGGG
rnacentral:rRNA from 1 species